rnacentral:rRNA from 1 species
AGGUUGGGUAAAUCUUUUGUGAAAUCGCCAGGCCUAACUUGGCGCAUUGCAGGAGAGACUGCUCAACUAGGGACCGGGAGGAGUCAGAAGUAUUCCGGGGGGACCGGUAAAAUGGUAUAAUCCCCGGAGGACUACCGAUGGCGAAGGCAUCUGACCAGAACGGAUCCGACUGUGAGGGACGAAAGCCAGGGGAGCGAACCGGAUUAGAUACCCGAGUAGUCCUGGCCGUAAACUCUGCGAGUUAGGUGUUGCGCAAACUACGGGUUUGCGCAGUGUCGAAAAGAAGUUGUUAAACUCGCCGCCUGGGAA